GUUACAGGCAGCGAGAACUUGACACUAUAGGGUGACCACCCGUCCCGAGGGACUGUCCCGCAUUGAGGGCUAUUGUCCCGCAAGAGAUGCGAAAAUCUUCAAAAAUGACCCGCAUUAUUAUUGUUCGGCAACGCCUUGAGUUCAGCUGCAUCUGGCCACUUUGUUUGGGGAUGUGUCCGAAAAGGUCACCUAUAGCCCCGCGCUGUUCACGGCGGUGAGGAAUGCUUCUGGCGCCAGCUGCGUGCGCCGUUCCCCCCGAUGUGGGCCCCCGGUUGAUGUAUAAAAUAGUUUUGUUUACAUGUAUUUGAACUCGUGUCAGUUACUCUAUUUCCCUGUUUCAGAGACGACAAAGUAUUGCAACAAAAAAUUUUAAAUGUUAAAAAAAUGAUUGUACUUAAUUUCUCAUCGUGCUGUCCCCCCUACCGGUCAUGCGUUUCGCAAGUAUGAAGGUAGUCACCCUACUUGACACGGACGCAUUAACAAACCAUCACGAGGGGCGCCCAACAAGACGAGGUGCGACUCCGCCUAAUUGGAGCAUCACCUGCCGCGGUGACAGCCGCGAGGUCUCUGGUUCGAUUCUCCACCGGCGGAAUACCAUGCUUUGGGCGCACGGCCUCAAAGGAUCGAAAUCGUUCCCGACGGCGUGUGCAGUUUAAGAAAGCAUCGACGCAGCCACUUUUUGUUUGUCGUGACCGAUAGUCGCUUCAUCAUAAUCUAUUUCUAAUGCCCACUGCAGGACGAAGGCGAUCUCCAAUUACCCCUGUGGUAUACUCGUUUGUACACUGUAUCCUAACUGCUGGUCUAACGAAACGCGGGACAGUGUCCGAAGGUCGAGUUAUCCGGAUCAACGCAACCCCUUGGGAGGGGCCACUAGGCCAUCCAGAUGUUUGCAAUACCACUGCUGAUGCUUCGUGAGCGGCGUCGUAACUCGAGGUUGCCUCGUACAUAUAAACACAGCUGAGAAGCGGUGAGCCUGCAUGUGUUGUACCUGUCAGCUCUCCCAAAUGUUCGGUAACGUUUACCAAUUUAGGCGUGUUCUACGAUAUUACGAAAGUUUUUCGAGAAAUAAAUUCGGUUCACGAUAAAGUUUCAAGGUGUUGAAAGACGUGCUGGUGAAGAACGAGAUUGCGAUGUGGCAUGGCGAGGCACCAGGGUUGCGUCUUGCGCUCAAAGCCGCCUCUUGUCGGCGAUCGUGGCUGCCAUGCGCAUGAGCGCGGCCAAUCCUGCACCGAAGUGAGCGACAGUGCGUGCCCACCCUGCGAUACUUGAUUUGGUCGGAGUCGUCGCGCGGACAGUAUUUUAUGCUACAUCUGCUUUCCGCAAUUAAUCGCCAACUCAUUGGCUCGGCAAUGUCUGGCCCUUUCGCCACAAAACACCAAGUCACCGUCACAGUGGAUGUGAACGCAUCGCCGCAUUGAAACAGCAGCGCGUCUUCCGCACACGUGUCGGCGGGGUGUGGUGCGAGCACUGUUAGCGCAUCGGGACGCCCUUUCACCGGCCACCCGCGGGCUGCUGCUGAUUGGUUGGAGCUGUACGAGGGCCGGCCGCCUCGUUCUCUCUCGUGCCCAGCCAGUCAGCACUUGAGCAGCGCUCUAGGUGGACAGAAUCUCCCGCGUCCUUCUCGGCAUCGAUCUUGUACAAGAUGUCUUUCACCAUGCGCCACAUGCUUUGCCCCUUGCCAACGCCAUUCUUUUGUUGCUUUCUCAUCAUCCACCAGUGAUAACCUGGGCCAGAGGCGCGAAACAGGUUGGGAUAGAGCCGACACGUAUUGUCAAGGCCCUUUCCAAGAUGGUCGUGGUGGUAAGCGCGCUGCCGCCACCCCCACGGUAUAGCAUCUGCCGCGUUAUGGCGUCGCGCGCGAGGUAUGGUGGGUUCGACUCCCGUUCUCCAACCAUAGCGUUCCGAUUUGAGCGGAAUUCGGCAAUCGGUAUGAAAGUGUGUGCGAUCUGACACCGUGCAUAUAUUCGAGAACUCGGUAGGUUACCACUGGCCAGAGCUUUCCACGGUGGCACAUCUGUUAGCCACCUGGGCAUACGUGAAAGCCCGGCCAGUGGUUAAGAAAGAUUAUUUCAGCUGUAUUUGUGAAUUACGUUUCUAGGAUACCACUUGUAUUGUGAGGUGCGGAAACUUUGGAAGUUCCCGCACCAGCGCACCGUGACGCCAUGGAUUUUGACGGCGUCUCCUCCUGUGGCCUCGGUAACUUUCUGUCGGUAACCACGAACUACGUCGCAUUCUAAGAGAGUCAAAUACUGAACUUGGCAAAUGUCGAGAACUUCUAUUGAGCUAGAGCCCCCCCCCCCCCCCCCCCCCCCGUAUAGGGAAAUAUACAUUAAAAUUGGUGACGUCACACUGGCCUAUGGGUAUUACGGCUCCGGCGCGAAAUUCGAAAAAUUGAACUGUGACCGUCAAAUGCCAGCGCGAAAAAAAAAAAAAAAAGCAGGGGACGAACGUAAAGAGACAUACACGGCGCUGUGUAUCUUUACAUACAUAUUUCUAUACGUCUUCUUUUUUGACGCGCUGGUAUUUGACGAUCAUGAUGAAUAACUAUAGCCCGAAUUUCAGCUCUAGUGAACUUUGACCUUUACUUAGUUUUCUAAUAGUCAACCUAUUACCGCGAAAUUAACGAAAGUGUGGUUUUGACGGAAUGCUUUAUCGGUUUAAGCUGGUUCUGUUGGGUUCCCUUGAUGACGAUCAGAGGCAGCAGACCGACGUUGGCUACGCGUGUUUCUUCGCUUUCGGUUCCGCGCUCGCGUGCAGCACCGCCGGUCGACUGACAGAGAGCUCGUCUUUUAGAACAACCUGAAGCUCGACUCGAUCAAGAACAACAGCGACAGACAGCAGCAACGCCAAUAUUUCCCCUAUUCGGCUGCGUUUCUUUAUUUUCUUUGGUUCGGACCAGGUCAACAGACUCGGAUUACGCGCCUGCCUGCAGAGCCCCAGCUGGGUUCGGUAACCACGGCCGAAGGAGAGAGAAGAGGAAAAGGCGCCGUUUUCUGCAACCCUUUAGGGCUUGGCAGAAUAAAGCCGACCCGAUUUACAGCAGGGUGGUGGUGGUCGCCCGCGGUCUCAAGCCACGGCAGCAAACGACGAAGCAGCUGCCGAGAGGAGAAGGCCGAGCGCUUCCUUUUCCCAACCGCUGGGACAAGAACCGUGCUUUCUCCGUCUGUUACAUCCUGCCCCCUCACGCACAAGUCAGUGCCGGCGGUAGCCGCCGCGUUUCGGGGUCACGGCUUUCUCUGACCGACGACCAGCUACGCUGGGGGGCGCCAACAUCACGCAUCGUCGACGCCCCCCCCCCCCCCCCCCCCCCCUACCGCGUGCAGUCCGCGGCAAUCUGUGUCGCUGCCCCCACGACGUUUGCGAUGAUAUGCAUGCAUCGUGGCGGAGAGCGCGACGCUCCGUUGCAGUUGGGGACGAAGAGGCCCCUACCGCCGUCCACGGCGACACCGCGGUACUCCUUGCGGGCUCUGUUCUGUUAGCGCGUUGACGGAGGCCGCGACCGUUGCUUGCGCGUCCUGUCGGUUGCAUUGUUGUCGACAGUGCCUGCGCCGAGUGUCGUACAGUCGAACGUAACUGCGGCACACUGCAAGUUAAAUGACCCGAAAAGAACGAGGCAGUACGGGAACACGCGAGACCGGGGCCGGUAUUUUGUAGCGAUGCCUUUCCGGUGCUAAUGCCUUUUUCGCGCUUUGUCAGUGGUCAGAGCGACGGUCCGCUCGCUUUAUCACCAUGAUCAGCCGGCCGUGAGCGGUGGAUGAUAAGACUAAUCUAGAAUAAGUCAUAAGUCAUCGCUACAAAAUACCGGCCCUGGUAUAGAAUGAGUCAUAAGGCAUCGCUACAAAAUACCGGCCCAGCGCUCGACAACCAACUGAAGCACCAUUUGGGAGAACCCCUUUUCAUAAGUGCCAACCGCUCACAUUUCGCGAGAUGUGUGGGAAGGAGACACGUGACACCACACACACAAAUGCAAACACGGUACGGCGUCCUGUCGAUAAUAAUGGCAGGUUUCGUGAAACGAAAAGAGUAGGGCUGUGCGAAUAGUGAGGCUGAAUCGAGUUCAAAUAGAAUACUUUUCGAAUAAUCCUUAGCAAGAUUCUGGCGCUACAUUAGGAACAAAUGAGCGGUUUGUUCGCAUACUUCGGCGAGUGCGAACGAUAGCCGAAGGAAGUAUGGCUCCACUUUUAUGCCACACUGUCGCUCGAAUGUUAUGAUUUAUCGCUAUUCGUAGUUUACGAUUAACAAAGGAUUCGAGAACUGUUGGGGAAAUAUUUGUAUUUAGGAAUAAACGACUAUUCGGUUCGAAUACCGAAUCCAAUCUUGCAAUGUUGGAUUCGUUAUUCGAGAGUUUCAAAUAUUCGCACGCCCCUAGAGAAGAGACGCAACAGCACAAGCUAACCCAGACAAAACUGGCGCCUAAAGUUGGAAAACAUAAAUGAACACGUAGCACGAAUGGCGGCCGCGAAUGUAUUUCUUAUUCCGCCGCCACUUUUAUGGUGUCCGCUUCGAGCAGAAGGUCCAGGAAGGCGCACGACAGUAAAACGAGACGCAAAAUCUGAGACGGGGAGGUCAGUUCACAGCAAAGGUCCCCUGGUCCUCCACGACGCUUUCCGCCGAAGCCCUUCGAUCAAGGGGCUGUACUGUCGCUGUACUGUGGUCUAGCGGUAGUGCCGCCUAACCCACAGGUUGGUAUCUCAUUGGUCCAGCGGUCUUGGUGAACAUUGUGGGGUCAUUUAUGCUUACGUGUCUACCUCGCCCGGUGGAUCGUAGUGGUCUUCUUAAAGGGACACUAAAGAGAAAAAUUAUUUCUUCUGUAUCGGUAAACUAGUCUCCUACAAUAUCGAAAACACCACGACAAGACGCUUGGUAAGCCACAGACCAAACAAAAUACGGGUGGCGACGCCUCCUUGAAGUUCCCGUGCACAACAUGGCAGCCCAGUCAAUUCUUUAGCGGUAAACGUUGUGUUCCAAAGGAGUCAAAGAUUGACCAUGGCGUGUUUCGGGAACGUUUGCAGAGCCAACGCAGCCGAAAUACGGAAAAAUAAAUUUCGAAUCCGUGAUGUCACAGUGACGUAUCGGCGUUGGCGAUUCGGCGCGAAAUUAAAAAAAAAAAAUUGACCUUCACUUCUUUUUCUAAUAAUCAACCUAUUAUUUCGACAAUAACGACAAAAGCGUUUUCAAAGAACGCUUUAUCCGUCUAAACGGAUUUAGUGUUUGGCUUUAGUGUCCCUUUAAGCUCUAUUCCCAGGAUCCUUUCGGUGCUACGUCCUCUGGGGUCAAUGUACGCUGGCCGAGGGCGAAGCUGUAUAAUCCAAUGUUAACUGUAUUCCGUAUGGUUACUGGUUGUCGCAUAUUAUACCCCAGUUCGUAAUAAAUGCGUGACUAUCGUUCGACGCACCCGCCGCGGUUGCUCAGUGGCUAUGGUGUUGGGCUGCUGAGCACGAGGUCGCGGGAUCGAAUCCCGGCCACGGCGGCCGCAUUUCGAUGGGGGCGAAAUGCGAAAACACCCGUGUACUUAGAUUUAGGUGCACGUUAAAGAACCCCAGGUGGUCCAAAUUUUCGGAGUCCCCCACUACGGCGUGCCUCAUAAUCAGAACUGGUUUUGGCACGUAAAACCCCAUAAUUAAAUUUUUUUUUAAUCGUUCGACGCGACUCUCAUGAUACGGCGCAGUAAUACGUUCCACGUGGUUAUCGCUAAAUCGUUGCACGGAGGAAACCUCGACUAUCGUUCACUGGUCUCGCCCCGGGGGAAGCGCACUGGUUUUUUGUUACCGCUGACUAUAUUUGGCAACCACUGUUGUAUACUGCGUCGUCGGUGAACCGCUAUUUUCUUUUAAUGGGCUCAGACAUCACGCGCCGUAGUCAAGCAGGCGCGUGGCGACACCGGCCUCGUCGUCGUGCCAGCGCACCCCGCGGGGCGGUUGCAAUCUCCAUUCGCACUCUGUUUUAACGCAUGUCGACAUUUUUCUCCUCUGUCCGGCUGCAUGCCCGCCAACUGUUCGCGCUCACAGCCUAGCUGCAGGCCGCCGCGCACGUUUCCGUGGGAUUUGCGCCGAGGUACCCCCUCUUUAGUUCCGCUGCAGCAAAACCAAAAGCGGUGGCGGCGCUGACGUCGGCGUCCCCGAAGAAGGAUGCAUGUACCGACGUGCCUCGGCGGCGUUGCGCGUGCAGUGCAAAUAUAUUCGCGACGAGCGGAAACGCAGCGUGGCGUGAAAGAAGGGAAGGCUCAUGGGACGAGCAGGUGUAGAGGAUCGGGUGCUGCCGCCGUAGCGCGAACGGCGAAACCGCUAUACGCGCGAGGUUCAAAGUUCGCUGCGUCUUUGCGAACGGGUCCCCAGCCAGCGCUCGUUACUGCUGCUUAUCAGGCAACUCGUAAACUUUUACACCCGCCCGCGGAGGACGUCGACGCCCCGGGUGGCGUAGCCGUUGCUGCUUCUCCUGCUUCCUUCUCCUACCGGACAGCUUAUUCGAACAUUUUUGCCUUAUCUAUACACACGCGCCCCUAACUAGGCCUAUCGCUCGCCGUCCUGAGCGGCGGACGCCGCCUGGAACGCGCGCGAGCUAUCCGGCACGUUGUAAAACGCUUUAUUGUGGGCCGAGGGCAGCGAGGCAGGCCCCAGGUGCCCCCUCCCCUUUCUCGAAGCGUGUUGUAAAGAGAGCUUCUGACCGCGCGAGUCCUUGUGUAUUUUCUGCGGCGACGAGCGUCGGCAUCGAAGCUUCGUCUUUUCAGGAUUGGUCUAUUAUCAGUCGAGUUGUACACAGUCGUGUAGGCCCUAAAAGAAAGUACUCGGGGGGGGGGGGGGGGGUGCUUGUAAGAACAAAUUAGCUAUUGUACAUCAGCCGAUACACUGGCCGUUCAUGCUAUAGCCAACAAUAAACUUGUGGCCAGCAUUAGUGUGAGGCUCCCGUUUCGCUAGAAGGGAUGGUGGUGUUUGCAUAGGCCCGUUUCACUUGGUUGUUUCAUUCCAUCCUCUAGUAAUAAAGGCGGUUGGGCUUAGGUUUCACUACUUCAUUUGGGCAGGCCCUUUGUAUCACGUUACUUCAGCACCUUUUUGUUCAGCUCGCGGUGUCUGGUCUGCAGCUCUUGUUGUCUGAACUGUGCAUCAACAGGAUGCAGAGGUCCCUUGCACAUGCUUUUGAAAUGAUUUGUCUGCUCUCUCCGAUUCUGGGACAGGUGGCCUAGCUGUCCUCAUUGGCCGUGCCUCCUACCUUUGCUCUUGCUUUCCGGCUGUAACUGGGCCCUCUCUCCCUGCUAUUUCUUUUUCGUUUCUGUGCUCCAGGGUGACGCUUUGGUUACGGUAUUUCCUGUCUGCCUGCUGUUGCAGUUUGGUUCAAGCUUGCGUACUAGCUUCACUUCCAGGAUAUGGCAUGCUCUCAUUUUUUAUUUAUUUUUUAUUUUCGGGCCCACCGCUGCCAAAGCAGAUGCGUAGAGCGCACAUUGAUAUGGUGUGCAAUUCGGUCCGCAGAGCAGCCAGGCACAAUGUGAAAUCCACAGGUGGCCGACUCGACAGGCCCCAUCACUGCAUAGCCUGCUUGAAAAACACGAAGAGCAAAUGGAAAGAGAUGCGUGCCUUUCUCUUAGUUUAUUGUUUUUCUAGCUCGCCAACUGCCUUCUGUGUCGAGCAGAAAGAGCGAGCCAUGUGACACAUGACAAAGCUGGAGGGGAGGAUAGAUUAGCGUGUGUGGAGGGAGUAGGAAGGGAGACGUGUAAAGUAAAGAAAUGAACAAGUGCAGGCAGCGGCCAAAAAAUGUCGAACCUGUACUCUAGUUGCGGCAACUCUACCUGGGAAGUGCAUGAGCUCGCAUGCUUUGCCGCUUGCUGACUUUCCCCUCCACCCCCCGUAGAGAGGCUCCGCCUCCACUGCUGUGUCCUCUAGCCGACCUCGACCAGAGUUGAAGCAAUGGGGGGGGGGGAGUCUGGCUUUCCGUCUCUCUCUCUCUCUCGUUUUGUCAUUUUUACUUUGUGUUUCCUCCAAAAGUGUUCUGUACACAUUCGCUCUGAUGGUCGCAAGCCGUUCUGUAAUAUUUUUUCCUCAAAACCUCUCGAUUCGAGUUGUUUGAAUGCAGAUUCUGCGGAUUUUCUUUCUUUGAUCAAAAGCCACGUUUCUGCUUAAGUUUGUUUGACUGCACGCAUUAUUUGAGUUGUGUGCUUGCGAAAAGUGAACAUGCAGACCAAGCACAUGGAAGUGAAGCAAAAGAAAGACUGGUUCUGAUGCUUGAAGGACUAAUGCUGAAAUGCAAAGGUUACGCUCAUUCCCAUAGUCUGUUUUCCUUGCAAACAUUGCAGAAAUAUAGCUUGUUUAAGCUGUAUAACAAUGAAUUGCUUAUUGAAAAGGUUGCUUUGAUUACAGACAGUGCUAGAUAGCGCUUUGUAGGCACUCAUGGAGUUGUGUGCCGACCAUUGUGGUAGCUAGCAAUUUUUUAGGAGCCCUCCCCCCACCGUGGAAUGGGGGGAGGGGUGCUUACAGGUAGCAUCCUGGUACACUGAAAUUUCCCUGGCUACACCCCUGAUGUAGACUGAUUUACAGGGAUUUAUGUGAAGUUUGUUCAGCUACUUACAGUGCUGACUGUUUGUAAAUCCGUGCUGUUGGAAACUUUUUUCACGAAAAGGCCGUUUAAUUUCUGUGUUAUAUGCCUUCCAUAUGCCCAAGUCUUUAACAUAUCUCCAUUAACAUGUGCACCAGGUCUCUGAACUCAUUUCCAUGCCAGCUUAUGAAUGGCGCCCAUUGGCACAGCUCUGUUCAACGGCUUGUGUGAGGUAAAUCUUUCCAACACUGCAGAAAUAUGUCCCCUUUCUUAAACAUGUCUUGAUAACAACGGGACCCACUUGAGUUGUUGCUUUGGCACAUAAAUGAGAUUCACUGAAGGUUCAAGCUAGUGCUCUAGAAUUUGUACUUUCCACAGAAAGGCAUGUAUCUUCAGUUCCUUGAGAUUGGUACUGAUUCUUGGCUGAUUUGGCCGUGCACACAAAGAUGAUGGGCACAGACAAAGUGUGUGAUAUAAAGCAAAGUAUUGCAAAUGUACAGUACACUGUCACUUUGCCUCUGGAUCAGAAAGGGAUACAAGCAGUGCUUGUUUAUGUCACUUUGGCUGUGCCUGUCAUUGUUGUUGAUGCUGCAGUUUUUCUUUCUUUUGCACACUGAGGGUCAUACAAGACAAGACUGUUUCAUUGAAGAAGCAAGAGCGAGGAGCAUACAAUGUGGCUGGCAACAGUUGUGCCUUUUCCCACUCAGGAGUAUGGGGGGUGGCAGGUGUUCUGCCCGCCUUUCCACAGCCCCCCCCCCCCCCCCCCGGAUCCAGUGAAGUGCGCUGGGGGGGGGGGGGGGAGGAGGUCAACCAACAAGAAAAGCAGGCAUAGCGGCACCCUGGGGUGCAGCGUUCAGGUGGAACGGAGUCUCCGUGCUUGAAUGGACAGAUGUCAGUGCAGGCAUAGGGGCGAUGAGGGAGGGUUUGAGAGGGCAGCCUCUCAUUGUCACCUUUUCACCUCUGGCUGCCCGUGGGCUGACAUGUCUUUGUCUCUUGGCUGCUCUCUGUCUGUUUGAUGGGUCCUGUUGGAGCGACAGCACCUCUUCCUUCUGAUGGGUUGAUGGUGUGUUGGGAUGGUUUGCUGCUCCUGCCGCCAGCUGGAUCACUGGCCAGCUCAUUGACUGCAAGCUAGUUAUGCACAUUUGCAUUGGUACAGUUCCUUCAACCAUGUAAGCUUUGUGAAGAUGCUUCAUCCUUGAGCUCUUGAUGCAUAACGGCUGUUCUGAUUGGUAAUUGUGCCACUGAAUACGCUGCUUGUGGCAUUGAGUGAACCUUGCAAUUGCUGAAGUGGUCUUAAUUGUACACUGCUGUCCACUGUUACAAGGAGCAUGCAGGUGCUUAUAAAGCCAAUAUAACACGAUCACUUCUACUUUAUCAAGGGAAAGAAAAGGCUGCUAGGAUGCACUAGGAUGACAUCUGUGCAUUAAAAAUUAGUCUGGGUGCAUUCGUGCCAUAUUUAAGCUGUUCUAGGUAGCCAAAUUGAUCAGUUUAAAUGUGGACUAUGCUGUAUAUACGGUAUGUUCAGCUUGCUUGUGAUUUUCAUAGCUUGCAGGGCUGCUGUUCUUGCAACAAAAAAGAAAUGUUAAAAGUCUGUUAUUGAUUUGCCAUAAUAUUAUAUCUUGGUGGAGGCAUGGAGUGGUGCCUGACACCGGCAAGAAAAAUAUAUUGCCGAGAGCUAGUGGGGCGAUACUAGUUCAGGUGCAACCAAACUAGGAAAGCCCACUAAGCUUCAUCAAAGUCACUCCCUCACCAGAACAGGAAUUGGCCUCCCUGGUGCAGUAUUCGGCCACUACCUCCCUCAUGACUCCGACAAACUGGAGAUCGCAGGGAGAGGCCUUCGUCCUGCAGUGGACAUAAAAUAUAGGCUGAUGAUGAUGAAUAUUAUAUCUUGCUUUUUUCUUGCUAUCACUGCGCUGCCUCCAAUCAAACUCUUAAACGCCUAGUGCGGGCCAACUAUUUACUGGAUGGGUUUGGCAAUGCUGAAUAGAGCACUACACAAACCCGGGCCCAAGCCGGGUAAGCGAUUGUUGACUUGGGCCCGGGCCGCAGUCGGGCCCGGAUUAGCCGGAUUAGGCCCGGACAUGCUAUUUACAACUCCACAAAACGCAAGGCUAUAAAACCCGCAGCCCUAUGCAAAUUUGAGGUCAGUAGUGUCUGUCGGUUUAUGGGAAGGUUGAGGCAGUCAGGCCACGACAGAGCAGCUGCACGCUGCACAGAUUAGUUUACAUUAGUGGUGCUCUUCGGCCUUAGAAAAAAUGAUACUAGUGAUCAACUGCACCCACUGUACGCUACACUUUUUAAUGUGAUCAGCAUUCUUUGCCUACUUAAGGCCCUUUUUAUCUAUCUGUCUGUCUCUCUCUCACCUUCUCCCUUUCUUACUUUCAUGAGACCCAAUUGUCGUCUACUAACUUGAGCCACUAUGUAUGUCCUUGGGGUCGUGGAAGUUCCAUUGUCGUCAUACAGUCAUGGUCUUUCCGUUCUAGUCAUGUCGUUCUCGUACGUAUCGCUGUCACACCAUUGUCAUCAUUUCAGAAACAUCACCAAAUUGUCGUCAAUAGUAUAUUGGUGCACAACUUAGACAAUGUAGGUAGUGCGGCCAUAUCACUCUUUAAAGCACAAGCAUCGUAGUGGUGGUCCAACUGCGCCAUUUGCGCCAUUUUGCUCCAAUUCUACUUGUCUGUAGGUAGUACGGCCAUAUCACUCUUUAAAGCACGAGCAUCGCAGUGGUGGUCCAACUGCGCCAUUUGCGCCAUUUUGCUCCAAUUCUACUUGUCUGUAGGUAGUACGGCCAUAUCACUCUUUAAAGCACGAGCAUUGCAGUGGUGGUCCAACUGCGCCAUUUGCGCCAUUUUGCUCCAAUUCUACUUGUCUGUAGGUAGUACGGCCGUAUCACUCUUUAAAGCACGAGCAUCGCAGUGGUGGUCCAACUGCGCCAUUUGCGCCAUUUUGCUCCAAUUCUACUUGUCUGUAGGUAGUACGGCCAUAUCACUCUUUAAAGCACGAGCAUCGCAGUGGUGGUCCAACUGCGCCAUUUGCGCCAUUUUGCUCCAAUUCUACUUGUCUGUAGGUAGUACGGCCAUAUCACUCUUUAAAGCACGAGCAUCGCAGUGGUGGUCCAACUGCGCCAUUUGCGCCAUUUUGCUCCAAUUCUACUUGUCUGUAGGUAGUACGGCCAUAUCACUCUUUAAAGCACGAGCAUCGCAGUGGUGGUCCAACUGCGCCAUUUGCGCCAUUUUGCUCCAAUUCUACUUGUCUGUAGGUAGUACGGCCGUAUCACUCUUUAAAGCACGAGCAUCGCAGUGGUGGUCCAACUGCGCCAUUUGCGCCAUUUUGCUCCAAUUCUACUUGUCUGUAGGUAGUACGGCCGUAUCACUCUUUAAAGCACGAGCAUUGCAGUGGUGGUCCAACUGCGCCAUUUGCGCCAUUUUGCUGCAAUUCUACUUGUAUGUGCCAAAGCGCCACCUUUUCCUUCGGCCCUAGGCGAACAUCGCAGUAGCAUGGCUGAUCCCUCCUUUUGUGGACAGACCCGUGGCUAAACAUUCCGAGCAUCGGCGACGUGGACUUCGCGACCAAGCUUCGCGCACGGAAUCCUCGAUCGGACACGCAGUUAAGCCUUUAAGCACUCUCCGAAUUCGCGACUAAGCACAUCGAUCGUCGACUCCUCGAGCCCGCGGCUAGCUAUAGCAUUUCGCGCAUUCUCACUUAGGACUGCGCAACUAAACACAUCGAGCGUCGCCUCCUCGGGCUCGCGGCUAGGCAUUUCGCGCAUCGGCACUUGGGACUGCACGACUAAGCACAUCGAGCGUCGACUCCAUUGGCAUUGUUGUUGCACAAAAUUGUUUUUCUGCAUUUAUGGUCGCUUUUGUAUUACGUCUCAUUGCAUAAAACUGGUCUCAGUAGUCUACAAGUGCUAUUUACAUAGGCAAAUAAAGUCUGUUUGAAACGUUUUCUGCUCUGGGCAUGCAAGCUGUCUGUCUUGCUUGUGUCAUCCAUUUGCUCUAAAGAAGUGCUUAACAAUUGUGUAGUAGUAAUAAGCUACACCAAAUGUCAUGCACUUGCUUUUCUCCUGCUCCAACUGAUCCAAAACGCAAAAUUUUGUGUACAGAACUGCUACAAAAUGCAUAUGUGGCUGCACUUAAAUUGCUACAAAACAGCUUUUUUCCUGCUUCAAAAAUUGUUCCAAUUCUUAAACUGACUGGACCACCACUGGCAUCGUGAUCAACGGAUGUACUUUUCUAUUUCUUCCUCCCUAAUUGCAAGCAGACAUUGUGCCACUUCCGGUGGCUGUUGCCAGCCUGAUCCCUCCCUAUUUUCCAACUGUCCAUUGUAUGUGUGUGUUUUCAUACGAAAUAUUCGAAUAAUAAUCUGUGCGUGUUCAGCUAGCAAAGAAAUGAAGCGCAAUUUUUAUUUCUGUCACCGUUAAAGUAGCUAGCAAGAGGGAACGCAGGGCAAAAAGUUGCUUUGAUGUGGCUUGAAGAUUGUCUUGCGCCCGUUGAUCCCAUGACAGUAGCUUCUCGAUAAUUGAAAAUUCGACCUAGCUUCACAUAAGCUCAAGGGCUAAUGGGUCGAACAGAAUAGGGCUGGGCCGGGCCAAACUCUUUCGGGCUGGGUACGGGCCAUGUUUAAAAUCACCGGGGUGGGCUUGGGUGAACCAACAAAUAGUACUUUCAGGCUCGGGCUGGGCCCUUGGCUGCAUCGAGUGGGCACCAUUGUUUUUUAUCGUUCUUUUCUGGCACGGCUAAGGGAACGGGUCACAGCAGACUUGGGCGUCCUCUCACGUGCGAAGCCCUGUCCCUCCACAUUUAUUACUGUGCUAAAACGAGUUAGACAGAGGUGGCAUUUAAAAUGGAGACAGAUCAGUGGCCAUUGCACGAGGAUCUUGCACAGAGUGAGCUAUAAUAAUCAGAUAUCUCGGCAACAGUGCGGCCAGAUCAUCUUGCGCUGCCAUCUCGGGCAAAUGGCACAGCUGUUGCUGCAGAACUGAAUGUCGUUGAGUCGAGCUGUCAUUGUGAGACGGCUGCAACAGGUGUGCUGCAGCAAGUUGUGAGGAAAGGAGGAGCCGACAGAGCUGAAAAUGGGGGGUUUCCGUCUGUUUGCCGAGCACUCGUGGAGUGUGACGGCCACUUGGGUGCGGGCCUUUAUCAGAGUACACUUUCUCCCCUUGUGGGGCCAUGCCAGCGAUGUGGGCAGUAUCAAAUGGUGAUAAGGCUCAGCUAAUCUUGCCUUAUGUGCAACGCAAGGCCUGCCUCUCUCUGAUGAGGCGGCCCCUCCCUAGCUGCCAUUUAAGGGCACACUGGGUCAUGACAUUAGCCUUUGAUCUCUUUGCCCCAGACACGAGUGUUGCGUAACCGUCAGUUCUCAGUUCCAUGAAAAUUUGGAGUAGGUAUUGCUCAAGUUUUUAUGGCUCCAAGGUCUUUCUAAAGACAGCCGUUAAUUUUUCUUUUCCCUCUCCUCUU